rnacentral:SRP_RNA from 1 species
GCCAGGCAUGGUGGUGCAUGCCUGUAAUCCCAGCUACUCAGGAGGCUAAGGCAGGAGGAUCGCUUGAACCCGGGAGGCAGAGGUUGCAGUGAGCCAAGAUUGCGCCACUGCAUCCCAGCCUGGGCGACAGAGUGAGACUCUGUCUCAA